UAUAUAUGCCGUAAUCUCGUAAGU
rnacentral:siRNA from 1 species